UAACACGUGAGCAACCUGCCCCUGACUCUGGGAUAAGCGCUGGAAACGGCGUCUAAUACUGGAUACGAGUAGCGACCGCAUGGUCAGUUACUGGAAAGAUUUAUUGGUUGGGGAUGGGCUCGCGGCCUAUCAGCUUGUUGGUGAGGUAAUGGCUCACCAAGGCGUCGACGGGUAGCCGGCCUGAGAGGGUGACCGGCCACACUGGGACUGAGACACGGCCCAGACUCCUACGGGAGGCAGCAGUGGGGAAUAUUGCACAAUGGGCGCAAGCCUGAUGCAGCAACGCCGCGUGAGGGAUGACGGCCUUCGGGUUGUAAACCUCUUUUAGCAGGGAAGAAGCGAAAGUGACGGUACCUGCAGAAAAAGCGCCGGCUAACUACGUGCCAGCAGCCGCGGUAAUACGUAGGGCGCAAGCGUUAUCCGGAAUUAUUGGGCGUAAAGAGCUCGUAGGCGGUUUGUCGCGUCUGCUGUGAAAUCCGGAGGCUCAACCUCCGGCCUGCAGUGGGUACGGGCAGACUAGAGUGCGGUAGGGGAGAUUGGAAUUCCUGGUGUAGCGGUGGAAUGCGCAGAUAUCAGGAGGAACACCGAUGGCGAAGGCAGAUCUCUGGGCCGUAACUGACGCUGAGGAGCGAAAGGGUGGGGAGCAAACAGGCUUAGAUACCCUGGUAGUCCACCCCGUAAACGUUGGGAACUAGUUGUG
rnacentral:rRNA from 1 species